AGUGAACGCUGGCGGUAGGCCUAACACAUGCAUGUCGAACGGCAGCACAGUAAGAGCUUGCUCUGACGGGUGGCGAGUGGCGGACGGGUGAGGAAUACAUCGGAAUCUACUUUUUCGUGGGGGAUAACGUAGGGAAACUUACGCUAAUACCGCAUACGACCUACGGGUGAAAGCAGGGGAUCUUCGGACCUUGCGCGAUUGAAUGAGCCGAUGUCGGAUUAGCUAGUUGGCGGGGUAAAGGCCCACCAAGGCGACGAUCCGUAGCUGGUCUGAGAGGAUGGUCAGCCACACUGGAACUGAGACACGGUCCAGACUCCUACGGGAGGCAGCAGUGGAGAAUAUUGGACAAUGGGCGCAAGCCUGAUCCAGCCAUACCGCGUGGGUGAAGAAGGCCUUCGGGUUGUAAAGCCCUUUUGUUGGGAAAGAAAAGCAGCAGGUUAAUACCCCGCUGUUCUGACGGUACCCAAAGAAUAAGCACCGGCUAACUUCGUG
rnacentral:rRNA from 1 species